rnacentral:tRNA from 1 species
GCCUGGUUGGCUCAGUCGGUAGAGCAUGAGACUCUUAAUCUCAGGGUCAUGAAUUCAAGCCCCACGUUAGGCA